UUCGGUGGCUAUCGCGUUUGGGUCACACCCGUUCCCAUUCCGAACACGGAAGUUAAGCCAAACUGCGCCGAUGGUACUUGGGUGGAUUCGCCCUGGGAGAGUAGGUCGCCGCCGGAU
rnacentral:rRNA from 1 species